AGGUGGACAUUUGAGUGCAAUGUUAUGCUGUUAGGUCUUUAUAAUCCUCCCUGUACGCACUGAAACGAGUGAGGGUAUCUGCUCUUCAAGUGCAGAGGGGAGAACACAGCAGACACCGGUGUGCAAUGCUGGUGACAGAAGGAGAAUUGUGGCUGUAGACUUGAGUGUGGAAAUUCCUCAACUUCCCAUGUUUGGCACCAUUCUUUCUAAAUCACCACU